rnacentral:rRNA from 1 species
GAUGAACGCUGGCGGCGUGCCUAAUACAUGCAAGUCGUGCGGCAGCGAGCCCUUCGGGGUGUCGGCGAGCGGCGGACGGCUGAGUAACACGUAGGAACAUACCCCAAAGUGAGGGAUAACUGCUCGAAAGAGUAGCUAAUACCGCAUGUGGUCUAAGGAUUAAAGCUUCGGCGCUUUGGGAAUGGCCUGCGUUCGAUUAGCUAGAUGGUGAGGUAAAGGCUCACCAUGGCGACGAUCGGUAGCUGGUCUGAGAGGAUGAUCAGCCAGACUGGGACUGAGACACGGCCCAGACUCCUACGGGAGGCAGCAGUAGGGAAUUUUCCACAAUGGGCGAAAACCUGAUGGAGCAACGCCGCGUGCAGGAUGAAUGCCUUAGGGUUGUAAACUGCUUUUAUAUGUGACGAUUAUGACGGUAGCAUAUGAAUAAGGAUCGGCUAACUCCGUGCCAGCAGCCGCCGUAA